rnacentral:rRNA from 1 species
AACGAACGCUGGCGGCAUGCCUAACACAUGCAAGUCGAACGAGACCUUCGGGUCUAGUGGCGCACGGGUGCGUAACGCGUGGGAAUCUGCCCUUGGGUUCGGGAUAACAGUUGGAAACGACUGCUAAUACCGGAUGAUGUCUUCGGACCAAAGAUUUAUCGCCCAGGGAUGAGCCCGCGUCGGAUUAGCUAGUCGGUGAGGUAAAGGCUCACCAAAGCGACGAUCCGUAGCUGGUCUGAGAGGAUGAUCAGCCACACUGGGACUGAGACACGGCCCAGACUCCUACGGGAGGCAGCAGUGGGGAAUAUUGGACAAUGGGCGAAAGCCUGAUCCAGCAAUGCCGCGUGAGUGAUGUAGGCCUUAGGGUUGUAAAGCUCUUUUACCCGGGAUGAUAAUGACAGUACCGGGAGAAUAAGCCCCGGCUAACUCCGUGCCAGCCGCCGCGGUAAUAC